rnacentral:lncRNA from 1 species
ACAAAGAAAGACAAAGAUUCUAAAUCAGAUCACUACUGAAAUGGGAAGACAACACAGAAUGUAAGUUCUCAGUUUCUUAUGGUAUAGCUGCAGAAAAUGGGCAAGUUGAAUGGAUUUGAAUUAUGCUCUGAAUGAAAUAUUCAAAGUCAGUUGAUUAAAAUUAGUGUAGGUUCUAGGCACCUAACUUAUCUUUCAUCUUCAUUUUUUUAGUGUUUUGACACUUCUACUAUGGCCCUUUUUGAGUUCAAUAGCACAAGAUGUUUUUGCCUGCCAACUUAAAGGUCAUAACCACUCUAAUGUGACUAGUAAACAGAGGCAGUCACCUUCUACAGACAUAACUCAGAAAUAUGCAGUGUCAGCUUCUAUUCUUUCACAAUGAGUAAGAUGACUCCUUUGACUUCAGUGCAUGAACAACUAUGACAUACGUUAGUACAAUACGUGUGGCAGAAAAUGAAUUGUAUGCAAUGUAGUGGUAAUUACUACUAGCUCACAAGCAGCGCUUCUGAAGCCAUGGCAAGGAAUACUUUAAUAUUGUCAACAAAAAGUAUGAAUUUCUCAUUCAAUUGCAUAUUAUACUGAUUUAUUUAUUUAUUUAUUACGAGGGAAUUCACUUUCUAAAUAUUAAGAUUACUGCUUGGGAAAACCAUUAAGCAAACAAAGACCUAUGAGUUUUUCUAGCAAUAGUGACAUCUGCAAAAGUUAAGCUGAAACAGUCUUGAAAUGUUCUCUGACUGAGGCCUCUGUUCCUGAAGCACAAUGAAAUUGUAAUUUCCAGGAAAUACAGUUUAAACUGUUUUUUAAAAGAACAUAGGUGAAAAUUCCAGUCUCUUAUUUCAGCCCUAAUAAUCAGAAACUUUUUUUUACUAAAACAAAAUCUCUUAUUGCAGCUGAUAUUUAACUCUGCUUUUCCUAUUCCAGUAGACAUGAAAAGCAGUUUUAUCCUGAAGCUCUUGUAGACGCCUGCAGAAACAUCUCCUGUCUUCACUACAUUUUUUCUUUAUUAAAUCAAGCCAGCAUUUCCAUAAUAGUGGAGACCAGAAACUUCAAGACUCUGGAAUAUCUGGAUGUAUCUUUUUUGAAGUGGAUUGUGGUUGACAGUGCAAAAUGUUGCCUUAGCCAAGAUGCUUCUGGUGUUGGAAAACCUAUCACCAGUAGUGUAAAUCCAAGAGCUACUUGGAAGAUUCUCUGGAGUUGUCAACUGCUAUGUUAAGACUGUUUGAAUUAAAAGCAAUCACUCGAUUAGCAGAGGAAGGAAGAAUAAUCCAGAGAUGGGGGAUCCUUAGUAUCCUGCAUCCUGUUCUGAAGAGCCAGCUAACAAGCCAGGAGGUCUCCAGUUAAAGCUGUAAGACUCAUUCCUUUCUCUAAAAUCCUUCCUUAGUAAUUUCAACAUAAUUAUCAUGGCAACCAGAAGUAUUUUUACAUCAUAGCUCUGGCAGUUCAAACAAACCCUUCACAUUUUGUACUCAUUUGAACAAUGUCACCAGUAACCUUCAAUAAAGAAAUGACAUUAUACUGUAUAGUACGUUAUUCUCUGUUUGUUCAGUCAUAAACCUUUUGGUCCUAGCUUGUCCUUGGAAAGCAAACAAAGAAAAUAAAAUCUCAGAACCCAGUGUUUUGUUGGAACUACAGUAACUCAAUUUAAAAGGUUCAUCUACCGAGAUGAAUCACCAAAAACUGAAUAACAAGGAUUUUGUUGACUCUUUAAAUGAUUCCUUUGAUAUAAGUUAAUAACAUCUACGUCG